GAUGAACGCUGGCGGCGUGCUUAACACAUGCAAGUCGAACGGAAAGGCCCAAGCUUGCUUGGGUACUCGAGUGGCGAACGGGUGAGUAACACGUGGGUGAACUGCCCUGCACUUCGGGAUAAGCCUGGGAAACUGGGUCUAAUACCGGAUAGGACCACGUCUUGGAUGUUGUGGUGGAAAGUUUUUUCGGUGUGGGAUGAGCUCGCGGCCUAUCAGCUUGUUGGUGGGGUAAUGGCCUACCAAGGCGUCGACGGGUAGCCGGCCUGAGAGGGUGUACGGCCACAUUGGGACUGAGAUACGGCCCAGACUCCUACGGGAGGCAGCAGUGGGGAAUAUUGCACAAUGGGCGCAAGCCUGAUGCAGCGACGCCGCGUGGGGGAUGACGGCCUUCGGGUUGUAAACUCCUUUCGCUAGGGACGAAGCGUUUUUGUGACGGUACCUGGAGAAGAAGCACCGGCUAACUACGUG
rnacentral:rRNA from 1 species